UCAAAAACACUAUUCUAUUACUCUUUUUCUCUCCACUUUUUAGGGUUCAUUCAUUCAUUCUCUUUUUUUUGGAAGUCAAAGAAUUUGCUCCUAUUGCGAGACGAAGAAACGCCAAGCUCUGAUUCUCUUUUGUCUUUCCCGACAAAUUUCAAAGUCCAAGAGAGAAAUGUGACUUCUACGGCUACAAUUGUGGUGGCGAAGGCAUAACUUCAAAAAAAGUUGGAAGCCUAAAAAUUUCUUGAAUGUUCGAGAAGGUAGAUUUGGAAGGGAAAACCAACCACGAUUUGGAAGGGAACGGAGGCGGUGCAGUACAAUUCGGCGAUGGCGGUGAUGGAGAUUACCGCGGUGGCGGAGAAAGACGCCGAGUUGAGGAAAUCGACGUUCAAGCCAAACUCACCCGCUUGCAAGGCCGUUGUGGAUCAAGUGGGGAAGAUAAUCGAGAAAGCGGAUUCGAAGCUUCUGGUUCCCUGCAUAAAGACGAUUGGGAAUUUGGCCAGAACGUUCAAGGCGACGAAGAGUCGGAUGAUUGUUUCCUUUAUAAUACUUUGUGCUCCAUUUAACCGUGUGCUGGUUUUGUUUCAUUUCUCAUGAGAUUUCAUUAUAGUAUAUUCUGUGGCUUGAGUUUCUUAUUACCUAUGUACCAAAGUCCAGUGUAAAGGACUCCUACUACUAUUUUUAAAUUUUAGAGAACAAAUACUUAUUAUCUGUGUGGCAGCACAUAAUUUGGAUUUGACCAUAAAUGUGCACAGGUAUGGACCAUUCUGGAUUUGCACUACCUUAAUAUUUGUAGCAGCAUCCAUUGGCACAUUUGUGACUUAUUUAUCGUACAAACUGAAGCAUAAGGAAUGGAACUAUGACAUAAAUCUGGUGACAUGGUCCACUGGCUUGUUUUAUAGUUAUGUCAGCAUUGUUCCUCUUGGUUUGUAUUUAAUCCUUAAGUACAUCUCUGUACCAUCUGGCCUUGUCCAACUACUCUGCCUCUAUGGAUAUUCCCUAUUUGUCUUUAUUCUGACUCUGGUGAGUUACUGCUCUUCAAAUUUUCUUUCAAGAAAUUAUUAGGUUAUCUUGAACUAUAUGAUCUUUAAAUAUUCUCUAUAUAAUAUGUAAUCAAGUGUAAUUAUUAUUUCCUUGUAAAUUGUAUGAUGAAGUUAAUGAUUUUACAGGCUUAACAUCAAUAUGCAUAAUAAAUAAAUUACAUCACAAGUGUCUCAAUACUAACCAAUAGCUAUAACAAGGUUGACCAGUGCAGUUUUCCAUAUAUGAAGGUAUUGCUUAAAAAACAUAUAAAACACUAGAUACACAUCACCCCAUUAUCAAAGACUUAAGUGUAAGUUGGCAUUGUUAGUAUGGAUUUUGUUGAUUAACAGCAGUUCCUAUAUUUUUUAUUUUUAUCAAGUUUUCUGAUCGUUUGCACACAAAACAUGUACACUUUCGUCGUAGUGUGAUGGUAAGAAAGGGAAGAAUUGAGAGCCACAUUUGAGAGAAGAUGUCAAAUUGCAAUUUUUGUUCUGGGUGGGUUGUGAGCAUCUUUAAAUCAAUAUAGAUCAAUGUAAAACACGAUAAAAUGAUAUUUUACUCCCUGUAGAAACGUGAACCACUUUUAGAGAGGUUGUGGGUAUCUUCAAUCAGUAUUAUCUUUUUUUGUGCAAGUAUUCAAUUAUAAAAGAGUUGCUGUUGAGUCUACUUAAUUGGCAAUUCUUGUUGAUAAACUGGUGUUCCCUUCCAAGUCACAUAAUAAGGGAAGUGGAAAAGAGACAAAAUAUUCUAAAUUAAUAUUCUGAAUCACAUAAAUCACUUUAUGAUGAGAUUCAGAUACUUCAAGGUAGACUUGAUCGAAACCCUGAAGUUACUCGGUUUGCUGUGGAGAGAGAUUCUUUUGACUGAAGUGUCUUCUUUGAGGGAACAGUUGCUUCAGUACCAUGGAAGAAACUCGAUACAGGGUAAUUCAAAUCAUGAUAUUGAACCUCAGAAAACUUCCGUGGCCUAUUGGAGGACCAAACAACAUGCUUAAAUCAGGAAUUUCUGAUGGCAAAAGACAAGCUUAAGCAAACAAGCAAGCAAUUAGAAGAUACAAAUGAUGAUCUGAAAGAGGCAAAGUCUGUUAUUGAAGCUUUAGAAUCACAACAUAUAUUAUCUAUUUUGGGGGUGAUUUGUUUUGCAGGCUCAAGUUCAUAGACAUGCUCAUAACUUUAGGGAAGUGUAGCAGUGUACUCUUCUAUCUAUCAAAAUAGGAGGGUGCAGUGAAGAUUGUUCCUAUUGUCCUCAAUCCUCUAAGUAUGACACAGGAAUCAAAGGCCAACGCCUUAUGAACAAGGAAGCUGUGCUCAGGGCUGCAAAUAAGGUACACUUUUAUCAGAUAAUCAAUUUAUGUGUAGUGUUCUUCUCUAGCUUGUGGCCUCGUGAUGUCAUUACUGAUCUCUGGAAAACUCUUUGGAUCUGCCUCCCAUGGAAUGGUGUCAUUUGAGUUAUGCAUUCGUUCCCAACAUUUCUUUACUUAAGCAUCAUAUAUCUUCUUAUUUAAAUUAAGAAAUGUAUCGUAGUUUAGAUGUCGGGAAUUUUGUUUUAGGUAAAAACAAUAGGUUGUUGAACUCAAGAAGGUAGGUUUCUCAGCCUUAUUGUAGGGAUAUGGGGAUGGAGGUUUGUUGCACCCUUGGCAUGCUUGAGAAACAACAGGCUGUUGAACUCAAGAAGGUAGGUUUCACUGCCUAUAAUCACAAUCUUGACACUUCUAGGGAAUAUUAUCCAAACAUCAUCACAACAAGGAGUUAUGAUGAGCGCCUGAAAACCCUUGAGUUUGUUCGUGAUGCAGGCAUCAAUGUUUGUUCUGGAUGAAGGGAGUGGACAUGACAUGGCAACACCACAAGGAGGAUCUUCAUUAGAUAGUAAUGUUCAUGGAGUUUGACAUAUUAUUGUUUUUUUUUUGUUAGACAUGAUGAACUCAUGAAUUUGAACCUGUUUUUAUAUUUGAAGCAAGAUUAAUUUUAGGACAAUUUACAUAUUUUGCUUUUGAGCAUUAAUCAUGAAUUUGAUUUUGAGUUA